rnacentral:rRNA from 1 species
CUACGUGCCAGCAGCCGCGGUAAUACGUAGGUGGCAAGCGUUGUCCGGAAUUAUUGGGCGUAAAGCGCGCGCAGGCGGAUUGGYCAGUCUGUCUUAAAAGUUCGGGGCUUAACCCCGUGAUGGGAUGGAAACUGCUAAUCUAGAGUAUCGGAGAGGAAAGUGGAAUUCCUAGUGUAGCGGUGAAAUGCGUAGAUAUUAGGAAGAACACCAGUGGCGAAGGCGACUUUCUGGACGAAAACUGACGCUGAGGCGCGAAAGCCAGGGGAGCGAACGGGAUUAGAUACCCCGGUAGUCCUGGCCGUAAACGAUGGGUACUAGGUGUAGGAGGUAUCGACCCCUUCUGUGCCGGAGUUAACGCAAUAAGUACCCCGCCUGGGGAGUACGACCGCAAGGUUGAAACUCAAAGGAAUUGACGGGGGCCCGCACAAGCGGUGGAGUAUGUGGUUUAAUUCGACGCAACGCGAAGAACCUUACCAGGUCUUGACAUUGAUGGACAGAACUAGAGAUAG